AUAUUCCUUUCUUUCUUUCUUUCUUUCUUUCCUUUUUUUUCUUUUUUCAGUUUUUAAUUUUUAAUCCUUUUCUCUCGCAAGAAAAUAAAAUUAAAGUUACCGCUUUGGUCGGCGACGACGCUCCCCGCUCUUUCCCGCAACCACCUCCCCCGAUGGCGACGGUACAGUCCGAUAUUCGCGGUGCUUUUCACAUCGCCUCCUCCACUUUCCUUUCCAUCACCCCUAACCUCAUGCUCCGCCGAACCGCUUCCCUUUCAGGUAAACUUCUUUUCCCCUCCUUCAAGUUGAGAGCAUUCUCCACCGGUGCUGCUGUUCGAGUUCCUGAUAAGCCCUCGAUUUGUACGGCCGACGAGCUUCAUUAUGUCUCUGUACCCAAUUCUGACUGGAGACUUGCACUCUGGCGCUACCAUCCCUCUCCUCAGGCGCCGCCGAGGAAUCAUCCCCUCUUGUUAUUAUCUGGAGUUGGAACUAAUGCCAUUGGUUAUGAUCUCGCCCCUGGGUGUUCUUUCGCGAGGCAUAUGUCUGGCCAGGGGUUUGACACAUGGAUUCUUGAAGUUCGAGGUGCAGGAUUGAGCUUGCAGGAACCAAAUUUGAAAGAAAUUGAACAUUCAGCUAAAGUUAAAUCUGACAAAAUGGAAGCAGCCUCUGAGAUCAAAAUAAAUGGAACUUCAAAAGAGGUAAAAGAGUCGACAAAAAUUUUAAGUGACCUUGCAAAAUCAGAUAGUUGCAUCAAUGGGAAAGAAUCCGCUUCUUCUAUGGUUGAAGAAGAAGAUUUCAUAGGAAUAACAACAAUUUGGGAUGAGUCAAGUUUGGUUUCAGAGUUAACAGAAACUUUUAUGCGUCUGUCAGAACGGCUUUCUGGCUUUCUAAGUGAAGGUCAAUCAAGGAUUAUGUCUGCUAAAUUAUUUGAUCAAAUUUCGAAACUCUUAGUUGAUUCCCAAUUAUCUGAACGUUUUAAUGAAGUGAGAGGAAGGCUUUCGAAUUUGUUGGAAACAGGACAGACCUCAGUCAUUGCUGGCCAGAUCAGGGAUUUGAGUCAGAGGCUUGUAGAAAUUAUCGACGACGGUCAACGAUCUGUUUCACCUCCAUUGUUCAAUUUGCAAGAUCGAUUUUCUUCAACAAUUGAUGAUUUUCAGAAACAACUUGAUUUAAUAGUAAAGUAUGACUGGGACUUUGAUCAUUACCUGCUGGAGGACGUACCUGCUGCGAUUGAUUAUAUCAGGGAUGUAAGCAAACCAAGGGAUGGUAAAUUGCUUGCUAUUGGGCACUCAAUGGGUGGCAUUUUGCUUUAUGCAGAACUUUCUCGUUGUGGUUGUGAAGGAAGAGACCCCAGAUUUGCUGCUAUUGUUACUUUGGCGUCUUCCCUAGACUAUACUCCUUCAAAAUCAGCCCUGAAAUUACUUUUGCCCCUUGCAGACCCUGCACAGGCUCUUAAUGUUCCAGUUGUUCCGUUAGGAGCUCUGCUAUCAGCUUCAUAUCCUCUAUCAUCUCGCUCUCCUUAUGUCUUUUCUUGGCUAAAUAAUCUUAUUUCGGCAGAAGAUAUGAUGCAUCCUGAAAUGUUAAAAAAACUCGUCUUGAACAAUUUCUGUACCAUUCCCGCUAAACUCGUCUUACAACUUACAACUGCUUUUCGCGAAGGUGGUUUACGAGACAGAAGUAAUACCUUUUUCUACAAGGAUCAUAUUCAUAAAUGCAAUGUCCCAGUCUUGGCGAUUGCUGGAGACCAGGAUCUAAUCUGUCCACCUGUAGCUGUAGAAGAAACGGCAAAGCUUAUUCCCCAGCACCUUGUUACAUAUAAAUGUUUUGGAGAACCAGAAGGUCCACAUUAUGCACAUUAUGAUUUAGUUGGAGGACGGCUGGCGGUGGAACAGGUGUAUCCAUGUAUCAUUGAAUUUAUUAGCCAGCAUGAUGCAAUUUGAUUAUGCACCACCCAACAAUCAAAUUUUCCUUUAGGUUCGAUUUGUUCAAAUGUCAACACACCCUAAUACUGGUUUCAAGUCAAUGUUGGUUACUGUUCCUGCAUGGCUGGAGAUAAAAAAUUCCUCGCAGAAUGAAUAAUUGUAGACUAAUGUUCAAAGAGGUUCUUGAAGAAUUUUGAGGACUUCUUUUACAUGCGUGCUGCUGCAUUAACCAAUGCCAAAUCCAGGUUUCCUUAUUCUGUUUUUAACGAAAAGGAUUACUGGAAAAGGUCAAAUAUAAUCAAGUUGGUUUAUUGGUGAAAUGAGCGUGUUUACAAAGAUACUUUGAGGGAGGAGUUCGUUGCAAAGGAGGUUGCAGUGACUAAGAGGAAGUGUGCUUGAACCCGAAACACAACAAUUCUUUGGUUUUCUAGUCACUUUUCUUACCUCCCAUAUUGUUCGUUAGACUGUGUGACAAUGUGAGCCAAGCUUGGCAAAAACAGCUGGUCGGUAAGUGAUCACUUACCUAAAUCGUGGACGUGCAGCUUUAAGUAUUAUUUCUUAUAGAGAUUGUUUUCUUAUGCUAAAAAGCUUGGUUACCUGCUGGAGGACGUAUGAUUCUAUUCCUCCUUUUGGUGGAUUGAUUUGAUACCAAGUGAAAACAGUAACUUUUGCUUGCGUCUUCUGGUCAUUGUUCUUCUUGUCUGGAAAUUGGAAUCGAUUUCAAAUUACCAUA